UACGAAGGGGGCUAGCGUUGCUCGGAAUCACUGGGCGUAAAGCGCACGUAGGCGGAUUGCUAAGUCAGGGGUGAAAUCCUGGAGCUCAACUCCAGAACUGCCUUUGAUACUGGCGGUCUCGAGUCCGGGAGAGGUGAGUGGAACUGCGAGUGUAGAGGUGAAAUUCGUAGAUAUUCGCAAGAACACCAGUGGCGAAGGCGGCUCACUGGCCCGGUACUGACGCUGAGGUGCGAAAGCAUGGGGAGCGAACGGG
rnacentral:rRNA from 1 species